UACGAGUAACCUCAGGGAAGAUCGGGUAACCAACCCCCGGUGGGAACUUUGGUCGUAUGUGAUGUAUUUUUCCUACGCACCCCUAGUGCGUUCUAAUGUCAGUUGACGGUCGUCCCUCCGACGAUCGUAUACGAACGAAUCGAAGUAGCCGAAGGGCUCUGAUCAUUAGUAAAUAAACAAGACAGCUUCAGUCUUAUCUGAACUACCAGCCUAACCAGAUCGCUUUUACUUCAUCAGUCUCUUAAUACAAGUUCACUUUUCCUCCGCCGGUCUCGGGAAUUGUAAAGUGUCGACGAGAAAAAGGUGUUUGAACGCGUGAAAUUGGAGUUAGUUUUUUUUUUAAUUGGACUCGGACAAGCGCCAGCAACAGAAUUGGAUCAGCGUCACCGGAGCGGUGGAUUCGAUCAGGGUGAACGACGUAUCAGGAUUCUUUACACAGCUAUUGUGGAGUCUUGAAAACCGCCAAAUUGUAAGCAGUAGCAAAAUUCAACGGAAUUGCUUUCGCCGAUACGGAUUUGGAAGCAGUGAGGAAAUCUGCCGGCGGGACUGAUCCGUAGCCGUUUGUGAAUCCGUAAACAGGAAAGGUUUUUCGGUAAUAGGAUAUGCAUUGGAAGCGUGGUCACCAUGGCACACAGGACGCAGAUACGACCAUGUAAGCCGUCUGCAACGUGGCAAAGGCCGAACGUUUGGAUUACGAGAGCGCAGUCAAGUAAGGAAACCUCGAUGGCGCCCCCUGCUGACUACCCGCCAGCCGGCGAUGAACUACCCUCCAGUAACGAUCCGCCUAUUGGCGAAGAAAAUCAGCAGCAGGCUCCGAGGGGACGCAACAAGAGAAGACGCCUGGAAUCAGGUUCCAACCAGAUAGAGCCCCGGAGAUCCAAACGGACGAAGAAAGUUAAUCGCAGUGACGAUUUUUACUAUAACUGAAUUUUGCGAGCUUGAUAAAAAAAAGUUUUCGAUCAACCAAAUUUGAAUUCGUGAUUAUGAUAUUAUUGUAAUGAAUUGUUUCACGUUCUGAUAAGUUUAAACUAUGUAAAAGGGGGAGAAUUGAUGUAUUUUUCCUACGCACCCCUAGUGCGUUCUAAUGUCAGUUGACGGUCGUCCCUCCGACGAUCGUAUACGAACGAAUCGAAGUAGCCGAUGGGCUCUGAUCAUUAGUAAAUAAACAAGACAGCUUCAGUCUUAUCUGAACUACCAGCCUA